rnacentral:rRNA from 1 species
GUGCCAGCAGUGCGGUAAUACGUAGGUGGCAAGCGUUGUCCGGAUUUAUUGGGCGUAAAGCGAGCGCAGGCGGUUUUUUAAGUCUGAUGUGAAAGCCUUCGGCUCAACCGAAGAAGUGCAUCGGAAACUGGGAAACUUGAGUGCAGAAGAGGACAGUGGAACUCCAUGUGUAGCGGUGAAAUGCGUAGAUAUAUGGAAGAACACCAGUGGCGAAGGCGGCUGUCUGGUCUGUAACUGACGCUGAGGCUCGAAAGUAUGGGUAGCAAACAGGAUUAGAUACCCUGGUAGUCCAUACCGUAAACGAUGAAUGCUAAGUGUUGAGGGUUUCCGCCCUUCAGUGCUGCAGCUAACGCAUUAAGCAUUCCGCCUGGGGAUACGGCCGCAAGGCUGAAACUCAAAGGAUUGACGGGGCCCGCACAAGCGGUGGAGCAUGUGGUUUAAUUCGAAGCUACGCGAAGAACCUUACCAGGUCUUGACAUACUGUGCAAAUCUAAGAGAAUUAGACGUUCCCUUCGGGG